GUUUCGGUGAUCAUGGCGAAAGGGAAACGCCCGGCCCCAUUCCGAACCCGGAAGCUAAGCCUUUCAGCGCCGAUGGUACUGCACACGCUGGUGUGUGGGAGAGUAGGUCAUCGCCGGACAC
rnacentral:rRNA from 1 species